GACGAACGCUGGCGGCGUGCUUAACACAUGCAAGUCGAACGGAAAGGCCCUGCUUUUGUGGGGUGCUCGAGUGGCGAACGGGUGAGUAACACGUGAGUAACCUGCCCUUGACUUUGGGAUAACUUCAGGAAACUGGGGCUAAUACCGGAUAGGAGCUCCUGCUGCAUGGUGGGGGUUGGAAAGUUUCGGCGGUUGGGGAUGGACUCGCGGCUUAUCAGCUUGUUGGUGGGGUAGUGGCUUACCAAGGCUUUGACGGGUAGCCGGCCUGAGAGGGUGACCGGCCACAGGGGGGCGGAGAUACGGCCCAGGCUCGUGGGGGGGGAGGCAGGGGGGAAGGUGGAACAGUGGGCGGAAGCUGGGUGAAGCAACGCGGGGGGCGGGUUGAGGGCUGUGGGGUUGUAUGCCGCUGUCGGCGGUGAGGAGGGGUGGGUGACGGUAAGGGGAAAAGAAGCGCCGGCUAACGACGGGCCGGCAGCCGAGAUAAGAAGGGGAAGAGCACACGUUGGACC
rnacentral:rRNA from 1 species